AAUUUCCACUAUGCACUUUCCAGAUAGUUAAAAAGGAGCCGGAGAUUAGAACAAGCCGAAAACCCAAACCCAGCAAAAAGCUCCUCACACCCCCACCCAGCCAUGGUGUCGUACGUGAACGCGCUGCUGUACGGGGUGGGCGGCCUGGUGGUGGCCGGCAUGGCAUUGCUCGUCGCCCUCCAGGAGCGGCUUGUCUACGUCCCCGUCCUGCCGGGUCUCACCAAGUCCUACCCGAUUACCCCCGCCCGCCUACGCCUUACUUACGAGGACGUCUGGCUCCACUCCUCCGACGGCGUUCGCCUCCACGCUUGGUUCAUCAAGCUCUUCCCCCACUGCAGAGGUCCAACCCUCUUGUUUUUCCAAGAAAAUGCUGGAAACAUUGCUCAUCGCCUCGAAAUGGUCCGGAUAAUGUUACAGAAAUUGCAAUGUAACGUGUUCAUGCUUUCAUAUCGAGGUUAUGGAGCAAGUGAAGGAUAUCCUUCUCAGCAUGGGAUCAUAAAAGAUGCUCAGGUUGCAUUGGAUCAUCUUUCUCAGAGGACUGACAUUGACACAUCUAGAAUAGUUGUCUUUGGAAGGUCACUUGGUGGUGCUGUUGGAACUGUGGUCACUAAAAACAACCCUGAUAAGGUUGCUGCACUGAUAGUGGAAAACACCUUCACAUCUAUUUUGGACAUGGCUGGAGUUUUACUCCCUUUCUUGAAGUGGUUUAUUGGAGGCAGUGGUUCAAAAGGUCCUAAAGCACUUAAUUUUCUUGUACGGUCUCCUUGGAGUACAAUUGAUGUCAUUGGUGAGGUUAAGCAGCCAAUCCUCUUUCUCUCCGGCUUGCAAGAUGAGAUGAUUCCUCCGUCCCAUAUGCAAAUGCUGUAUGCCAAAGCAGCUGCCCAUAAUAAGCAGUGUGUUUUUGUGGAAUUUCCCACUGGCAUGCAUAUGGAUACUUGGCUCACUGGUGGUGAUAAUUAUUGGAGAACGGUCCAGGAGUUUCUUCAACAACAUGUUCCAGCAAAAAAUGAUGAUGAAUCGUCUCACACUGAUAGAGGAUUAACUUGGGAAUGGAUGCUGGCGCUACAGCCUGGUUGAGUUCUAAAAUACUUAAUUAUUUGACUGCACGUCAAGUACCACUGGGGCGGGGGUGAAACUUCAUGUUGUAUGAACUUGGGAUAUGUGGGGGCAAAGUGAUUGGAUGGAUUUUAGACUUGUUCAAGCAAUCUGAUUGGCUCCUCACUCAACACAAUCUGUACCUUUUUUCUGAAGCUGCAGCAAUUGAAAGCUCUCUUUGAGGAGCCGCUCUGCAAGGACCGCUGCACCUAUUCAGGUCUUCCCUGUUGAAUAUUUUUUGUUGGUUUACAAACUUGAGACAAUUGGGAGAAAAUGUGAAUGCCAUGGAUCUACUAUAUGACUUCUGACAUACACGCUCGAUGCCUAAUCUGUUCUUACUGACCCAUUGUAUGAAAUAAGAAGUCACUAUAUAUGCAAAUAUAUAUGUUGAGUUGGUGCAUCA